AUGCAUUGGUUCGCAUGGUGGAAGUUGUGUGUGCCGAAGAAGAAAGGGGGAUUGGGGUUUAGAGACCUUCACAGUUUUAACCUUGCUAUGUUAGCAAAGCAGUGUUGGCGACUUCUCCAGAACCCAGACUCUCUGUGUGCGCAAAUUCUCAGUGCUAAGUAUUAUCCAGAUGGUAAUUUAUUGAAAGCUGGACCGAAAAGGGGAUCUUCAUAUACUUGGCAAAGCAUUGUCGCCGGCAUUCAAACUUUCCAAAGGGGUUGCAUUUGGAGGGUUGGCUCGGGGUCUCAAAUCAACAUUUGGCAGGACCCAUGGAUUCCAACCAGUGUAACUCGAAAAGUAAUCACACCAAGUGGGACGAUGAUGUUGUCAAAAGUAGAAGAACUAAUUGAUCCUCACACUGGAAUGUGGGACGAGGUGCUUUUGGGAGACUGCUUCUCUCUUGUUGAUGUGCACAGAAUACUACAAAUUUCGCUAAACCCCCCGCACAUGACCGAGGAUUUUAUCGCAUGGAACUACACAAGGUCCGGCACCUUUUCUGUACGCUCGGCAUAUUAUAGGGAGUUAGAACACCAACUUGGUCCACGUCUGACAAGAAUUGAUGGGCAGGGAAACGCUCAAAUCAAUACUAUAUGGAAAGAGGCAUGGAAGCUAAAGGUACCGGGGAUGGUAAAACACUUUGCAUGGAAAGUACUCCAUGGAGUACUACCAUGUUAUGGGGUUCUUGCUAGCCGACACAUUCCCCUGUCGCCACGAUCAUCCCAUGCCGCAUCGUGGUUCUUCCCGCACGUCAGGGACGAUAAGGAAUGGUUUGUAUCUCCUCUCAAGCAUGGGAUGCAACAUGGCAGAGAUAGAAUCUGA
rnacentral:rRNA from 1 species